rnacentral:ribozyme from 13 species
UUUUUUUUUUUUUUUUUUUUUUUUUUCCCC